GCGUGGCUAGCUCAGUCGGUAGAGCAUGAGACUCUUAAUCUCAAGGUCGGGGGUUCGACCCCCACUUUGGGCG
rfam:Daphnia pulex DAPPTscaffold_175_Cont6593, whole genome shotgun sequence.